GAUGAACGCUAGCGGCAGGCCUAAUACACGCAAGUCGAACGCGAAUGAGGAGCUUGCUCUUCACGAAAAUGGCGCACGGGUGCGUAACGCGUAUGCAACCUACCUUAAUCAGGGGGAUAACCUCUCGAAAGAGAGAUUAAUACCGCAUAACAUAUUGCUGUGGCAUCACAGUAUUAUCAAACAUUUAUGGGAGUAAGAUGGGCAUGCGUGUCAUUAGCGAGUUGGCGGGGUAACGGCCCACCAAGGCGACGAUGACUAGGGGAGCUGAGAGGAUGACCCCCCACUCUGGUACCGAGACACGGACCAGAAUCCGACGGGCGGCAGCAAUAAGGAAUAUUGGUAGAUGGGCGCAAGCCUGAACCAGCCAUGCAGCGUUCAGGAAGACGGCCCUAUGGGUUGUAAACUGCUUUUAUACCGGAAUAAACCCCCGAACGUGUUCGGGGCUGAAUGUACGGUAGGAAUAAGGAUCGGCUAACUCCGUGCCAGCAGCCGCCGUAAGAC
rnacentral:rRNA from 1 species